rnacentral:rRNA from 1 species
CAGUCGAACGGACGAUGAAGAGCUUGCUUUUCAGAGUUAGUGGCGGACGGGUGAGUAACGCGUGGGUAACCUGCCUCAUACAGGGGGAUAGCAGCUGGAAACGGCUGAUAAAACCGCAUAAGCGCACAGCAUCGCAUGAUGCAGUGUGAAAAACUCCGGUGGUAUGAGAUGGACCCGCGUCUGAUUAGCUGGUUGGUGAGGUAACGGCCCACCAAGGCGACGAUCAGUAGCCGGCCUGAGAGGGUGACCGGCCACAUUGGGACUGAGACACGGCCCAAACUCCUACGGGAGGCAGCAGUGGGGAAUAUUGCACAAUGGGGGAAACCCUGAUGCAGCGACGCCGCGUGAAGGAAGAAGUAUCUCGGUAUGUAAACUUCUAUCAGCAGGGAAGAUAAUGACGGUACCUGACUAAGAAGCCCCGGCUAACUACGUGCCAGCAGCCGCGGUAAUACGUAGGGGGCAAGCGUUAUCCGGAUUUACUGGGUGUAAAGGGAGCGUAGGCGGCGGAGCAAGUCAGAAGUGAAAGCCCGGGGCUCAACCCCGGGACGGCUUUUGAAACUGCCCUGCUUGAUUUCAGGAGAGGUAAGCGGAAUUCCUAGUGUAGCGGUGAAAUGCGUAGAUAUUAGGAGGAACACCAGUGGCGAAGGCGGCUUACUGGACGGUAACUGACGUUGAGGCUCGAAAGCGUGGGGAGCAAACAGGAUUAGAUACCCUGGUAGUCCACGCCGUANACGAUGAAUACUAGGUGU